AGAGAGAGUAAGGAGUGGAGAAAGACAGAAAGAGAGAGUAAGGAGUGGAGAAAGAGAAAGAGAGAGAGGGAGAAAGACAGAAAGAGAGAGUAAGGAGUGGAGAAAGACAGAAAGAGAGAAGAAGGAGUGGAGAAAGAGAGAAAGAGAGAGUAAGGAGUGGAGAAAGACAGAAAGAGAGAGUAAUGAGUGGAGAAAGACAGAAAGAGAGAGUAAGGAGUGGAGAAAGAGAGAGUAAAGAGUGGAGAAAGACAGAAAGAGAGAGUAAGGAGUGGAGAAAGAGAGAAAGAGAGAGUAAGGAGUGGAGAAAGAAAGAGA
ensembl:lncRNA